rnacentral:lncRNA from 1 species
CUUCAUCUUCUCGAACAUCUGAUUUGCAAAUGCAAGCUCAUCGAGAAGAGGUUGUUCAUAGAAUGUGGGAAGAUAAUAUUAAAGAAUAGUUUGAACUCUUCCAGAAGAGAAGGCAAAGGUGCUUCAGUGAUUGCAAUAUUUAUUUCCUUCUGUUUUAUUCUUCUUUUUCAAAUUCAUAUUAGUUGUAUUUUCAUUAUCAUGAUUUGUACUAGUCUCUUUUAACGAUGC